GGUUCGUUUGUUCAACGAUUAAAACCCUACGUGAUCUGAGUUCAGACCGGAGUAAUCCAGGUCAGUUUCUAUCUAUAAAGAGCUUUUUCUAGUACGAAAGGACCGAAAAAGCAUGGCCUAUACCUUAUGCAAGCCAUACCUGAUUAUUUAUGAUUUAAACUUAAUAGACAUUCAAUCUACCAUUUAAACUCUAGACAAGAGUAGUU
rnacentral:rRNA from 1 species